rnacentral:rRNA from 1 species
GACGAACCUUGCAAACGUUGUUCGGAAUCACUGGGCUUAAAGGGCGCGUAGGCGGGCAGCCAAGUCUGGGGUGAAAUCUUUCGGCUUAACCGGAAAAUUGCCUGGGAUACUGGCUGUCUUGAGUGAGGUAGGGGCAUGUGGAACUUCCGGUGGAGCGGUGAAAUGCGUAGAUAUCGGAAGGAACGCCGGUGGCGAAAGCGACGUGCUGGACCUCUUCUGACGCUGAGGCGCGAAAGCUAGGGGAGCGAACGGG